CCUACGAGAGGCAGCAGUGAGGAAUAUUGGUCAAUGGGCGGAAGCCUGAACCAGCCAAGUAGCGUGCAGGAUGACGGCCCUACGGGGUGUAAACUGCUUUUAUACGGGAAUAACGCGCCUUACGUGUAGGGCUUUGCAUGUACCGUAUGAAUAAGGACCGGCUAAUGCCGUGCCAGCAGCCGCGGUAAAACGGAAGGUCCGGGCGUUAUACGGAUUUAUUGGGGUUAAAGGGAGCGUAGGCCGCAUGUCAAGCGUGCUGUGAAAUGUCCGGGCUCAACCCGGGCCUUGCAGCGCGAACUGGCGUGCUUGAGUCCGCGGAAGGCAGGCGGAAUUCGUCGUGUAGCGGUGAAAUGCUUAGAUAUGACGAAGAACCCCGAUUGCGAAGGCAGCUUGCUGCAGCGGAACUGACGCUGAUGCUCGAAAGCGCGGGUAUCGAACAGGAUUAGAUACCCCUGUAGUC
rnacentral:rRNA from 1 species